rnacentral:ncRNA from 1 species
UGUUGUUGCGAUGGCAAUCCUGCUCAGUACGAGAGGAACCGCAGGUUCAGACAUUUGGUUCAGGCGCUCGGCUGAUGAGCCGGUGGUGCGAGGCUACCAUCUGAGGGAUUAUGACUGAACGCCUCUAAGUCAGAAUCCCGCCCAGAAAGCAACGAUACGCGUGGCGCCUCCUUCGGAGUGGCAGGCGUAGGGCUGUUUCGGCAGUCCGGCAGAGCCACUUGCGGCGACCAUCCGGGGGCUCCGACUACACCGUCGGACUCCGCGCUCGAUCCGCAGAGCAAUCUCCUCCGGGGCCGAGGCGCUGAAUCCUCUGUAGACGACUUUGAUGCAGCUCGGGGUGUCGUACCUAGUAGAGCAGCCGCUUCGCUGCGAUCUAUUGAAAGUCAUCCCCGCGAGCUAAGAUUC